AUUGAACGCUGGCGGAAUGCUUUACACAUGCAAGUCGAACGGUAGAGGGGCAACCCUUGAGAGUGGCGAACGGGUGAGUAAUGUAUCGGAACAUGCCCAGUCGUGGGGGAUAACGUAGCGAAAGUUACGCUAAUACCGCAUACGAUCUACGGAUGAAAGCGGGGGACUCGCAAGAGCCUCGCGCGAUCGGAGUGGCCGAUAUCAGAUUAGGUAGUUGGUAGGGUAAAAGCCUACCAAGCCGACGAUCUGUAGCUGGUCUGAGAGGACGACCAGCCACACUGGGACUGAGACACGGCCCAGACUCCUACGGGAGGCAGCAGUGGGGAAUUUUGGACAAUGGGCGCAAGCCUGAUCCAGCCAUUCUGCGUGCAGGAAGAAGGCCUUCGGGUUGUAAACUGCUUUUGUACGGAACGAAACGCGCUAGGUUAAUACCCUGGCGUAAUGACGGUACCGUAAGAAUAAGCACCGGCUAACUACGUGCCAGCCGCCGCAGUAAAAC
rnacentral:rRNA from 1 species